CACAAGCGGUGGAUGAUGUGGUUUAAUUCGAUGCAACGCGAAAACCUUACCACCUUUGACAUGUACGGAAUCCUUUAGAGAUAGAGGAGUGCUCGAAAGAGAACCGUAACACAGGUGCUGCAUGGCUGUCGUCAGCUCGUGUCGUGAGAUGUUGGGUUAAGUCCCGCAACGAGCGCAACCCUUGUCAUUAGUUGCUACAUUCAGUUGGGCACUCUAAUGAGACUGCCGGUGACAAACCGGAGGAAGGUGGGGAUGACGUCAAGUCCUCAUGGCCCUUAUAGGUGGGGCUACACACGUCAUACAAUGGAUGGUACAAAGGGUCGCCAACCCGCGAGGGGGAGCCAAUCCCAUAAAGCCAUUCGUAGUCCGGAUCGCAGUCUGCAACUCGACUGCGUGAAGUCGGAAUCGCUAGUAAUCGCAGAUCAGCAACGCUGCGGUGAAUACGUUCCCGGGCCUU
rnacentral:rRNA from 1 species